AAUCUUUCCAAAGAUGGGCUUCCCAGUUCUUCAUCGUCUGCUUCCCAAACCAAGCAAACCAACCUCCACAACCUUCCCCAAUAAAUACAGAAAUCUGAAUUUCCAAUACCAUUCAAACCGGAAAAAUGGCCAUCUCUUCCUUUCUCACUCCAUUCUCCAAAACCCUAGCAAACCCCUUCUUGCCAAAACUCUCAACAAUCUCCCACCUCCUCAAUCCCCCUCCCAAUACCCACAACCUCAAAUUCACCUUCAAUCUCAAAGCCCCGCGCCUCUCUCUCCUCCUCACCACCCACCACAACCCCAAACCCAAAUUCAAUAGCACCAUCAGAUCCCUCUUCACGGGCAUCGUGGAGGACAUGGGCGAGGUCAGGCACGUGGGUUCAUCAAACGACGGCGGAUUCACCAUGAUAAUCCACACCAAAACCCUACUCGAGGACGUGAACCUCGGGGACAGUAUCUCCGUCAACGGGACCUGCCUCACGGUGACCCGAUUCGAUACCCAGUUGGGUGAGUUCGUUGUCGGGUUGUCGCCCGAAACCCUAAGGAAGACGUCGCUGAUCGAGCUCGAGAACGGGUCGUUGGUGAAUUUGGAGAGGGCGUUAAAACCCUCGACCCGAAUGGGCGGGCAUUUCGUGCAGGGGCACGUGGAUGGGACCGGCCAGAUCGUGGCGAAGGAGAGCGAAGGCGAUUCGCUGUGGGUGAAGGUGAAGACAGCUCCGGAGUUGUUGAAGUACAUUGUGCCCAAAGGGUUUAUUGCUGUGGAUGGGACCAGUUUGACUGUGGUAAAGGUGUUUGAUGAAGAGGAGUGUUUUAAUUUCAUGUUGGUGGAUUACACUCAGCAAAAGGUCGUGAUUCCAUUGAAGAACAUUGGACAGAAGGUGAACUUGGAAGUAGACAUUCUUGGGAAGUAUGUGGAGAGGCUUCUCCGUAGUGGGUUUGUCAAUGCUGUGAUAUCUUGAUAAUACUAAGCUUGUGGUUUCAGUGAGAUGUCUACGGCUUUACAGAUCAUAUGAUGGAACCUGCUGCUGCAACUGCAGAGACCAUGAAGCCAGUAUUUUAUCACCAAUACCCUGGGUACAAUACAGGAGCAGUGAUGUGAAGUGCAUGACUGACAUCUUUGUUUUAAAAGUUGUUUUCACGAACUACCUAUAUGUUUGCAAAAUAAACUGUAUUGUACUGUACUGGAAUGCCAUAAUUUGGAACGUCGUAUUUGUGGACAAGUUUGAGGACUUGGGAAUAGUAUUGAAUUUGGGGUAUUAUAUGUACUAUUGUGAGGAUUUAUAUUUCAAAUGGUAUUGUUAUUUAUGUU